rnacentral:rRNA from 1 species
CCUACGGGAGGCAGCAGUGGGGAAUAUUGGGCAAUGGGCGCAAGCCUGACCCAGCAACGCCGCGUGAAGGAAGAAGGCUUUCGGGUUGUAAACUUCUUUUCUCAGGGACGAAGAAAGUGACGGUACCUGAGGAAUAAGCCACGGCUAACUACGUGCCAGCAGCCGCGGUAAUACGUAGGUGGCAAGCGUUAUCCGGAUUUAUUGGGUGUAAAGGGCGUGUAGGCGGGAGCGCAAGUCAGAUGUGAAAACUCAGGGCUCAACCCUGAGCCUGCAUUUGAAACUGUGUUUCUUGAGUGCUGGAGAGGCAAUCGGAAUUCCGUGUGUAGCGGUGAAAUGCGUAGAUAUUAGGAGGAACACCAGUGGCGAAGGCGGUCUGCUGGACAGCAACUGACGCUGAGGCGCGAAAGCGUGGGGAGCAAACAGGAUUAGAUACCCGUGUAGUC